AGCUUUGUGCAGUGGCAAUAUCAUAGCCAAUGAGUUUUAUCCGAGGAGCAAUUAUUGCUAAUUAAAAUGAGGAGGUGGAAUUAGAUGACCUCAAAAUCUUUCAAAAUUUAUGAUCCAAUUGCUUGAUAAUCUCUAAGGUU